rnacentral:lncRNA from 1 species
GCCACUCACAGUACCAUGUAUCUCUUCCCAGGAAAAAUACAAGUCAUCCUCAGCAACAUAUCGAUGUUGAACGCAGAAACAAACCAGCUGAUGAAUAGUGCUAUCUUGGCUGAGAUCAUCUUUAGGGAAAAAAUAAUCCAUUAUGACUCCAAUUGCCCUUUCAGAAUUAAAGCAUACAUUACCGUCAGCAUCAGUUAACAAGGUAGGAGACAUGGCCCUAUUAUUAGAAUUUUUUAGAAAAGUGUAUACUUUACCCCAAGGGUCACAAUUUCCCUCCACAUUACAAAACUCUUUCCAAGAUCUCGAUUUACUAUUUCGGAUUUCCCUUCUGAUAAGCUUUUUUGCAAAUAUGUACU